rnacentral:misc_RNA from 1 species
AAUUAAAAUCAGUGAAAAAACAGAAAAAGAAAAAACACAAACACUCAGAAAUUUCUGUUUUCUCAAAUACAUAUAUGAGGAGAGAACUAGUGAGUUUCUUGUUUUCCCCAGCAUUUUUGCAGAGUAAGCCUAUUGAACAUUAUUAAUUAGUGAAGACCAAACACGCCAAUACAGGCCUGCCUAAUUAAAGCAAUAAAUGGGAAAUUUUGAAGAUGUGUAAAAUAAAACAAACAGAAUAUAUUUAUAAAUGAUCAUGAAGAAGAGGAAAAAUGAUGAUUGUAGUUUGAGGGUUUGCUGGAGAAGGAUGGUGCUGCUGCUUCUUCUACUUUAGUGGUUAACAUAUCUUGUUGCUUCUUCCAUCGCUGAAUUUCCUUGGAAAGCAAUCCCUUCCCUUCUAAUUCAUGAUCUCCAUCAUCAUCACCUUCCUUGACACGAAUGAACUUCCCCUUCUUGAGUUUGUAUCCUAAAUUAAAACACAUAUCUGAUAUUUUAAUGGUAAUUAAGGAUAUUAUUCGAAAAUGCAAAAGAAA